CAAAGGCUUGGUCCUGACUUUACCAUCUGCUCUAGAUUAUAUUUACACAUGCAAGUAUCCGCCCCCCUGUGAGAAUGCCCCACUUCUCGUCUGAGAAUAAGGAGCUGGUAU
rnacentral:rRNA from 1 species